rnacentral:misc_RNA from 1 species
UAAUCUAAAUGCGUGUAUGUCAAAUGAAUUAGCCUUUCAGGUUUCUUCAACCCUGGGGCCAUUGAAGGACCAGACAACAAACAAGAGAGAAUAUCUCACAAGGGAUUGCAGAAACCUAAAGUUCCCGAAGACACCAUGAAGUUUGAAAUCUGCAAACUGAAACAAGCAUCUGAAAAUGCUAAUGAUAUUUUUACUAAACACUUAUAGGCAUG